UUGCUUGGUGGAUAUCUAAAGUCUAUUGAGCAAUCUCAAUAUGAUACAAGAGCUGUUGCUUAGGAUGUUGAUCGUGACACGCUAGGGUGGACUUGGGCCUUAGUGACAUAAAAUGAAGAUAGACUUAGUUUAAUUAUGAACUCUUGUUUCUUUUAUUUUAAGACAAUAUAACUCUUUGGUUCUUGUUUUGAGACAAUGUAAUUCCACCUUUGGUUAUGAAUAAAAUAUUAUUUUAAUUACCAUGGUUGUGGAACAAU
rnacentral:lncRNA from 1 species